GUCUAUAGCCACACCACCCUGAACACACCCGAUGAUUAUCUGAUCUCAGAAACAAAGCAGGAUCGGGCCUGGUUGGUACUUGGAUGGGAGACUGGUUAGGUAAAGCAGCUGACAAACC
rnacentral:rRNA from 1 species